rnacentral:lncRNA from 1 species
CCAGUGCUCCUGAGAGGCUGUCAUGGAGCCGUCUCUGGGACAGGAAACCACAGCCCUGAUUGGCAGGACCCAAGAACCAGUCCCUCCCUUGGUGACCUGGACCCCUUCCCAGCAGCUGAUUCCAGCCAUCUGGUGCAAAUGCCAUGCUGGCCCAGACACCAUCCAUUACCCAUCAUCACACCCAUCCAUUACCCGCUAGGAAGGACAGCGUGGACCACCAGAGGAGCACACCUCGGGUCAUAUUCUCACUGCUCAAGUGCUCCAUGAGUAUGCAUUGAGCACCUGCUGUAUGCCAGGCACAUGCAUCAGAAGGAUCCAUGAACAGAACAGCCCUGCCCUCCUGGGGCUCCCACCCUGUGGGGGAGACACCAGGAGCAGGUGAGGAUGUGAGCAAUCGGUUCCACAGAUGAUCAGUGUCGAUUCUCUGUGCAUGAAAGAAGGACAGACAGAGAGACAGAGACAGGGAGAGAAGCGACGGACACAAGGGAGAGUGGUCUGCUUUGGCUGGGCAUAGGUGGUCCCCCAAUCAGAUGAGGACAGCACCAGCGGCCACUCUGCCCUCCACCCCUGGCCAGCCGUGGACUCUGCUCAGGCCCGCUCUUUACUUUCCAGGGCGAAUCACCAACCCCAGGUCCAGGUUAAAACUCCCCUUCAGCCAAGGACCUCGGGGCUCGCUGCAUUGAGAUGAUUCUCCCAGCCCCAUCUCACUGGUACAGCCUCCCCUGGGGGUGCCUCCGCCAGCCAGCAGAGCCUGCCUUGGUCAGCACCACUGUGUCUGUUGGUCUCUCUGCCGCAGACCCCCUGGCUGCUCCCACCCCAGACUCUCCAGGCUCACCCUCCCCCGGAGCCAUCAAUCAACCUGGGUGCAUUAGACUCCUGCAAAUUGUUCCUACAGAAAGCGUCACUGUGGGGGAAGGAGCUGUGGGAUUCCCACACCCCCACCUGGCCCUGGGGAGGGUGUCUUCUCUCUUAUGUCUUGAAGCAAAAUCCCAGGAGGGGUCCUGGCCCACCAUGGCCCAAACAGCAGCUGCUGCUCAUCACUG